UCCGUAGGCGGAUUGAUAAGUCAGAGGUGAAAUCCCACAGCUUAACUGUGGAACUGCCUUUGAAACUGUUAGUCCUGAGUUAUAUGGAAGUAGAUAGAAUGUGUAGUGUAGCGGUGAAAUGCAUAGAGAUUACACAGAAUACCGAUUGCGAAGGCAGUCUACUACGUAUAUACUGACGCUAAUGGACGAAAGCGUGGGGAGCGAACAGGAUUAGAUACCCUGGUAGUC
rnacentral:rRNA from 1 species